GGGAACUCGUUUACACAUUUCUGAUAAAUUUAUCCAGCGAUUUCACUGAAUAAACCUGAUAAACUGAAGCCAAUGCGACUCUGUCGCAAAAGGACUAAACAUUCAACAACGACAAUGCUUCACUAUUGCAACAUUUUGUGACCCACGUUUCAAAACUCGUUUUUUUUUCUGACGCCAAUAAAGCUAAAAACUGGGUUGUUGAUGAACUAAUUCCAAAUUAUAAAUCAGUUAGCAUGGGGAAACCAGUUGAAUCUUAUAAAAAAUGCCGAACUAUAGUGAAAGCUUCCAUCGAAGAUCGAGCUCACGAGGAUAUUUGGCAAUGCUUUGAGGAAAUCGCCAACGGCUCUGAUGCUGAUUCUAGUGUUUCUAGUGAUAUGGAUAGCCAAACGAUUGGUAGACAAGGCAGCGAACGUACAUAAAAAAGGGAGCGAUUUAUGAACUUGAAAUAGACAAAUAUUUGCAGCUACCUCUUAUACAACAAGAUCCCUUAACCUGGUGAAAGUAUAGCCGCAAAGAAUUUCCAAAUUUGUUUACACUGGCAAUGAAGUAUCUCUGCGCGCCACCUUCCUCAGUGAACUCGGAAAGAGUAUUUAGUGCAUCGGGUAACAUUUAUGUGGAAAAUAGAAUUAGGUUGUUGCCCGAUAAUGCGGAAACUUUGAUUACUAAUUAGAUACUAUUAAAUUGGAUUACAAAAAUACAAAA